UUUUUUUUUUCAAUCAUACCCAUUUUAAGAGUAAAAGUAGGAAACCAACAUCACAGCUGUUGUUACCGCCAUCACCAAAACAUAAUAUGUAAUUCAAGGGCCUUUAUCUGAACCUAAUGGAUGUAGCGGGCUUUGUUAGUUUGCCUGAUUUUGUCAUCCAUUUCAUUUUAUGAGUUUUUUAAUUUAAAUGUAUUAAAAAGGAAUUGUUCCAAAGUCUUAAGUCCCAGAGGCCAAAAGAGAUGACUAUGUUUGGGGCUUACAAAUAUAUGAAAUUUUGCUUUGUAGACAUGUUACUGUCUGCUAAUACCAUUUUCCUUUGCCCCUAGAUAAAUGAGAUGUCGAAGGAAGUCACCAAAUUGAAGGAGGCCUUGAACAGCCUCUCCCAGCUCUCCUACUCAACAAGCUCAUCCAAAAGGCAGAGUCAGCAGCUGGAGGCGCUGCAGCAGCAAGUCAAACAGCUCCAGAACCAGCUGGCGGAAUGCAAGAAACAACACCAGGAGGUCAUAUCAGUUUACAGAAUGCAUCUUCUGUAUGCUGUGCAGGGCCAGAUGGAUGAAGAUGUCCAGAAAGUACUGAAGCAAAUCCUUACCAUGUGUAAAAACCAGUCUCAAAAGAAGUAAAGUGGAUUCCUUGGCAGGACACUGCCCCUUGUCAUCCGUCUUUGUGUUAGAUCCAGAGUUGUCGGCAGCUGCUGCCAUUGUUCUCAUUCGUGGUAUGCACUGUGGCCUAGCGUAGCUUCUUCCCUUUCCAAAGGUUUCUGAGGACUUCUCCCA
rnacentral:sRNA from 1 species